rnacentral:rRNA from 1 species
GAUGAACGCUGGCGGCGUGCCUAAUACAUGCAAGUCGAGCGAACAGACGAGGAGCUUGCUCCUCUGACGUUAGCGGCUGACGGGUGAGUAACACGUGGAUAACCUACCUAUAAGACUGGGAUAACUUCGGGAAACCGGAGCUAAUACCGGAUAAUAUAUUGAACCGCAUGGUUCAAUAGUGAAAGACGGUUUUGCUGUCACUAAUAGAUGGAUCCGCGCCGCAUUAGCUAGUUGGUAAGGUAACGGCUUACCAAGGCUACGAUGCGUAGCCGACCUGAGAGGGUGAUCGGCCACACUGGAACUGAGACACGGUCCAGACUCCUACGGGAGGCAGCAGUAGGGAAUCUUCCGCAAUGGGCGAAAGCCUGACGGAGCAACGCCGCGUGAGUGAUGAAGGUCUUCGGAUCGUAAAACUCUGUUAUUAGGGAAGAACAAAUGUGUAAGUAACUAUGCACGUCUUGACGGUACCUAAUCAGAAAGCCACGGCUAACUACGUG